UACGUAGGCAGCGAGCGUUGUUCGGAUUUACUGGGCGUAAAGCGUGCGUAGACGGUUACCUAAGUCGGGUGUGAAAGCCCCGGGCUCAACCUGGGAACUGCGUCUGAUACUGGACGGCUUGAGUAUGGGAGAGGAACGUAGAAUUCCAGGUGUAGCGGUGAAAUGCGUAGAUAUCUGGAGGAAUACCGGUGGCGAAGGCGGCGUUCUGGACCAUUACUGACACUGAAUCGCGAAAGCUAGGGGAGCAAACGGG
rnacentral:rRNA from 1 species